rnacentral:rRNA from 1 species
GACGAACGCUGGCGGCGUGCUUAACACAUGCAAGUCGAACGAAGUGGCGAACGGGUGAGUAACGCGUAAUCAACCUGCCCUUCAGCGGGGUACAACAGUUGGAAACGACUGCUAAUACCGCAUACUGAAGGCGGGGAUUGCGUGUGAUUGGCUAGUUGUAGGGGUAACGGCCCACCAAGGCGAUGAUCAGUAGCCGGGUGGAGAGGAUGAACGGGCAAAUUGGGACUGAGACACGGCCCAGACUCCUACGGGAGGCAGCAGGGGGGAAUCUUCCGCAAUGGACGAAAGUCUGACGGAGCAACGCCGCGGGAGUGAUGACGGCCUUCGGGGUGUAAAGCUCUGUUAAUCGGGACGCGGUACCGGAAUAGAAAGCCACGGCUAACUACGUGCCAGCCGCCGCGGUAAUAC